AUUGAACGCUGGCGGAAUGCUUUACACAUGCAAGUCGAACGGUAGAGGGGGCAACCCCUUGAGAGUGGGCGAACGGGUGAGUAAUAUAUCGGAACGUGCCCAGUCGUGGGGAUAACGUAGCGAAAGUUACGCUAAUACCGCAUACGAUCUAAGGAUGAAAGCGGGGGAUCGCAAGACCUCGCGCGAUUGGAGCGGCUGAUAUCAGAUUAGGUUGUUGGUGAGGUAAAAGCUCACCAAGCCGACGAUCUGUAGCUGGUUUGAGAGAACGACCAGCCACACUGGGACUGAGACACGGCCCAGACUCCUACGGGAGGCAGCAGUGGGGAAUUUUGGACAAUGGGCGAAAGCCUGAUCCAGCAAUGCCGCGUGCAGGAAGAAGGCCU
rnacentral:rRNA from 1 species